rnacentral:rRNA from 1 species
CCUACGGGUGGCAGCAGUGGGGAAUAUUGGUCAAUGGGCGCGAGCCUGAACCAGCCAAGUAGCGUGAAGGAUGACUGCCCUACGGGUGGUAAACUUCUUUUAUAAAGGAAUAAAACGAGGCACGUGUGCCUUUUUGCAUGUACUUUAUGAAUAAGGAUCGGCUAACUCCGUGCCAGCAGCCGCGGUAAUACGGAGGAACCGAGCGUUAUCCGGAUUUAGUGGGUGUAAAGGGAGCGUAGAUGGGUUGUUAAGUCAGUUGUGAAAGUUUGCGGCUCAACCGGAAAAUUGCAAUUGAUACUGGCAGUCUUGAGUACAGUUGAGGUAGGCGGAAUUCGUGGUGUAGCGGUGAAAUGCGUAGAUAUUACGAAGAACCCCGAUGGCGAAGGCAGCUUACUAAACUGUGACUGACAUUGAUGCUCGAAAGUGUGGGUAUCAAACAGGAUUAGAUACCCCAGUAGUC